AGAUUAAGUUAUUAAGGGCGCACGGUGGAUGCCUUGGCACUAGAAGCCGACGAAGGACGUUACUAACGACGAUAUGCUUUGGGGAGCUGUAAGUAAGCUUUGAUCCAGAGAUUUCCGAAUGGGGAAACCCAGCACGAGUUAUGUCGUGUUAUCGAUAUGUGAAUACAUAGCAUAUCUGAAGGCAGACGCGGAGAACUGAAACAUCUUAGUACCCGCAGGAAGAGAAAGAAAAAUCGAUUCCCUGAGUAGCGGCGAGCGAAACGGGAAGAGCCCAAACCAAUGAGCUUGCUUGUUGGGGUUGUAGGACACUCUAUACGGAGUUACAAAAGAACAGACUAGACGAAUCAUCUGGAAAGAUGAAUCAAAGAAGGUAAUAAUCCUGUAGUCGAAAGUUUGUUCACUCUUGAGUGGAUCCUGAGUACGACGGAACACGAGAAAUUCCGUCGGAAUCUGGGAGGACCAUCUCCCAAGGCUAAAUACUCUCUAGUGACCGAUAGUGAACCAGUACCGUGAGGGAAAGGUGAAAAGUACCCCGGAAGGGGAGUGAAAUAGAACUUGAAACCGUGUGCUUACAAGUAGUCAGAGCCCGUUAAUGGGUGAUGGCGUGCCUUUUGUAGAAUGAACCGGCGAGUUACGAUUUGAUGCAAGGUUAAGCAGUGAAUGUGGAGCCGUAGCGAAAGCGAGUCUGAAUAGGGCGUUGAGUAUUUGGUCGUAGACCCGAAACCAGGUGAUCUACCCAUGACCAGGUUGAAGUUCAGGUAACACUGAAUGGAGGACCGAACCGACUUACGUUGAAAAGUGAGCGGAUGAGUUGUGGGUAGCGGAGAAAUUCCAAUCGAACCUGGAGAUAGCUGGUUCUCUCCGAAAUAGCUUUAGGGCUAGCCUCAAGUGAUGAUUAUUGGAGGUAGAGCACUGUUUGGACGAGGGGCCCUUAUCGGGUUACCGAAUUCAGACAAACUCCGAAUGCCAAUCAAUUUAACUUGGGAGUCAGAACGCGGGUGAUAAGGUCCGUGUUCGAAAGGGAAACAGCCCAGACCACCAGCUAAGGUCCCAAAAUAUAUGUUAAGUGGAAAAGGAUGUGGCGUUGCCCAGACAACUAGGAUGUUGGCUUAGAAGCAGCCAUCAUUUAAAGAGUGCGUAAUAGCUCACUAGUCGAGUGACACUGCGCCGAAAAUGUACCGGGGCUAAACAUAUUACCGAAGCUGUGGAUUGUCCGUAAGGACAAUGGUAGGAGAGCGUUCUAAGGGCGUUGAAGCAUGAUCGCAAGGACAUGUGGAGCGCUUAGAAGUGAGAAUGCCGGUGUGAGUAGCGAAAGACGGGUGAGAAUCCCGUCCACCGAUUGACUAAGGUUUCCAGAGGAAGGCUCGUCCGCUCUGGGUUAGUCGGGUCCUAAGCUGAGGCCGAUAGGCGUAGGCGAUGGAUAACAGGUUGAUAUUCCUGUACCACCAUUAUUCGUUUUAAGCGAUGGGGGGACGCAGUAGGAUAGGCGAAGCGUACGAUUGGAUUGUACGUCCAAGCAGUGAGAUUGAGUGUUAGGCAAAUCCGGCACUCUUAAGAUUGAGCUGUGAUGGGGAGAGGAAAUUGUUUCCUCGAGUCGUUGAUUUCACACUGCCAAGAAAAGCCUCUAGCUAGAAUUGUGGUGCCCGUACCGCAAACCGACACAGGUAGUCAAGAUGAGAAUUCUAAGGUGAGCGAGCGAACUCUCGUUAAGGAACUCGGCAAAAUGACCCCGUAACUUCGGGAGAAGGGGUGCUCUUUAGGGUUAACGCCCAGGAGAGCCGCAGUGAAUAGGCCCAAGCGACUGUUUAUCAAAAACACAGGUCUCUGCUAAACCGUAAGGUGAUGUAUAGGGGCUGACGCCUGCCCGGUGCUGGAAGGUUAAGAGGAGUGGUUAGCUUCUGCGAAGCUACGAAUCGAAGCCCCAGUAAACGGCGGCCGUAACUAUAACGGUCCUAAGGUAGCGAAAUUCCUUGUCGGGUAAGUUCCGACCCGCACGAAAGGCGUAACGAUUUGGGCACUGUCUCAACGAGAGACUCGGUGAAAUCAUAAUACCUGUGAAGAUGCAGGUUACCCGCGACAGGACGGAAAGACCCCGUGGAGCUUUACUGUAGUCUGAUAUUGAAAUUCGGCACAGCUUGUACAGGAUAGGUAGGAGCCUGAGAUACGUGAGCGCUAGCUUACGUGGAGGCGUUGGUGGGAUACUACCCUCGCUGUGUUGGAUUUCUAACCCGCACCAUUUAUCAUGGUGGGAGACAGUGUCAGAUGGGCAGUUUGACUGGGGCGGUCGCCUCCUAAAGAGUAACGGAGGCGCUCAAAGGUUUCCUCAGAAUGGUUGGAAAUCAUUCAUAGAGUGUAAAGGCAUAAGGAAGCUUGACUGCGAGACUUACAAGUCGAGCAGGGUCGAAAGACGGACUUAGUGAUCCGGUGGUUCCGCAUGGAAGGGCCAUCGCUCAACGGAUAAAAGCUACCCCGGGGAUAACAGGCUUAUCUCCCCCAAGAGUUCACAUCGACGGGGAGGUUUGGCACCUCGAUGUCGGCUCAUCGCAUCCUGGGGCUGUAGUCGGUCCCAAGGGUUGGGCUGUUCGCCCAUUAAAGCGGUACGCGAGCUGGGUUCAGAACGUCGUGAGACAGUUCGGUCCCUAUCCGUCGUGGGCGUAGGAAAUUUGAGAGGAGCUGUCCUUAGUACGAGAGGACCGGGAUGGACAUACCUCUGGUGUACCAGUUGUCGUGCCAACGGCAUCGCUGGGUAGCUAUGUAUGGACGGGAUAAGUGCUGAAAGCAUCUAAGCAUGAAGCCCCCCUCAAGAUGAGAUUUCCCAACUUCGGUUAUAAGAUCCCUCAAAGAUGAUGAGGUUAAUAGGUUCGAGGUGGAAGCAUAGCGAUAUGUGCAGCUGACGAAUACUAAUCGAUCGAAGACUUAAUCAAAUUUUA
rnacentral:rRNA from 1 species